AUUGAACGCUGGCGGCAGGCCUAACACAUGCAAGUCGAGCGGUUGAGAGUAGCUUGCUACUUGAUGCAGCGGCGGACGGGUGAGUAAUGCAUGGGAAUCUGCCUGGUAGUGGGGGACAACGUUUCGAAAGGAACGCUAAUACCGCAUACGCCCUACGGGGAAAGGGGGGAGUCUUCGGACCUCUCGCUAUCAGAUGAGCCCAUGUCAGAUUAGCUAGUUGGGGGGGUAAAGGCCCACCAAGGCGACGAUCUGUAACUGGUCUGAGAGGAUGAUCAGUCACACUGGAACUGAGACACGGUCCAGACUCCUACGGGAGGCAGCAGUGGGGAAUAUUGGACAAUGGGCGAAAGCCUGAUCCAGCCAUGCCGCGUGUGUGAAGAAGGCC
rnacentral:rRNA from 1 species